UACGUAGGGGGCAAGCGUUGUCCGGAAUUAUUGGGCGUAAAGAGCGCGUAGGCGGUCCGAUAAGUCGGCUGUGAAAGUCAGGGGCUCAACCCUUGGAAGCCGGCCGAUACUGUCGGACUAGAGUCCGGAAGAGGCGAGUGGAAUUCCUGGUGUAGCGGUGAAAUGCGCAGAUAUCAGGAGGAACACCAAUGGCGAAGGCAGCUCGCUGGGACGGUACUGACGCUGAGACGCGAAAGCGUGGGGAGCAAACAGG
rnacentral:rRNA from 1 species